rnacentral:rRNA from 1 species
UACAGAGGGUGCAAGCGUUAAUCGGAAUAACUGGGCGUAAAGGGUGCGUAGGCGGAUUCUUAAGUCAGAUGUGAAAUCCCCGGGCUCAACCUGGGAAUGGCAUUUGAUACUGGGAGUCUCGAGUAGAGGAGAGGAGAGUGGAAUUUCAGGUGUAGCGGUGAAAUGCGUAGAUAUCUGAAAGAACACCAGUGGCGAAGGCGGCUCUCUGGCCUCAUACUGACGCUGAGGCACGAAAGCGUGGGGAGCAAACAGG